UACGUAGGGGGCAAGCGUUGUCCGGAUUUAUUGGGCGUAAAGAGCUCGUAGGCGGCUUAGCAAGUCGGGUGUGAAAACUCCAGGCUCAACCUGGAGACGCCACUCGAGACUGCUAUGGCUAGAGUCCGGUAGGGGACCACGGAAUUCCUGGUGUAGCGGUGAAAUGCGCAGAUAUCAGGAAGAACACCUAUGGCGAAGGCAGCACUCUGGGACGGUACUGACGCUGAGACGCGAAAGCGUGGGGAGCGAACAGG
rnacentral:rRNA from 1 species